GUGCACGAUGACUCUUUCCUUGAAGAGUGUUUUUCUGAUAUCCAACCUGAGCCUCCCCUGACGGAGCUUCAGGCCAUUCCCUCUUGUCCCCUGUCCCAGCUUUGUUGCUCUUCUCUGGACACGCUCCAGAGUCUCAACAUCCUUCUUGUGGUGAGGGGCCCAGAACUGAACACAGUAUUCAAGGUGCAGUUUGACCAGCAUCGAGUACAGGGGCAGAAUACCUCCCUGGACCUGCUGGCCGUGCUGUUUCUGAUGCAAGCCAAGAUACCAUUGGCUAUCUUAGCCACCUGUGCACACUGCUGGCUCAUGUUCAGAUGGUUGUCAAUCAAUACUCCCAGGUCCUUCUCCUCCGUGCAGCUCUCCAGGCACUCUUCCCCUAGUCUGUAGCACUGCAUAGGGUUGCUGUGCCCCAAGUGCAGGACCCGGCAUUUGGCCUUGUUAAACCUCAUGCCAUUGGCCUUGGCCCAGCAGUCCAGCCUGUUCAGAUCCCUUUGCAGAGCCUCCCUACACUCCAGCAGAUCCACGCUUCCACCCAGCUCAGUGUCAUCUGCAAACUUGCUGAGGGUGCACUCAAUCUAAUUGUAAUAACGUGUUUAACCUGUAUUUCUAAUGCUAAGGGAAUUAUUUUGACAAUAUUUAAUUGCAGAUCAUUUUUAAAUAAGAGCAGACGCAACCCCAGUGUGAAAGGUGAGAGAGAUUUGCAGUUUCAAAACUAUUACUAGGUUGUAUGACUAGGGGCAGAAUCGUUCCAUAUAGUGACAGCUAACAGAUAGAGAGGGAGGACAGGUGGUUUAUGUUAUUUUUCUCAUGCACUCCUUGAGAUCACAAUUGUUAAUUAGCACUAACGCUGGUAUAAAAAAGUAAAAGCAGUAUUUACUGUUUCAAAACUAUAGAAUAAUUAGCGUUCAUUAUAGUUGUAUUUGUACAUUUUUUCCUGAUAUUUUUUUUCCUUUUUCAGCCUGUGCAACUUACCUUUUGGUUCAGGGGUUACAAAGUCUAAGAAACCACUUAACUGCACAAAGUAUAAGUUUCUCAAAUUGUAAUCAGCUUGUACAGACCUGGCAUGGUAUGGGUUUAUGGCUCAAAGCAGAUAAACCACAAAGACCUUUCUGAAACUGGCACUGUGUCAACC